rnacentral:rRNA from 1 species
CCUACGGGGGGCAGCAGUGAGGAAUAUUGGUCAAUGGACGAAAGCCUGAACCAGCCAAGUAGCGUGAAGGAUGACGGCCCUAUGGGUUGUAAACUUCUUUUAUAUGGGAAUAAACUGUUCCACGUGUGGGAUUUUGUAUGUACCAUAUGAAUAAGGAUAGGCUAACCCCGUGCCAGGAGCCGAGGUAAUACGGAGGAUCCGAUCGUUAUCCGGAUUUAUUGGGUUUAAAGGGAGCGUAGGUGGAUUGUUAAGUCAGGUGUGAAAGUUUGCGGCGCAACCGUAAAAUUGCAGUUGAAACUGGCAGUCUUGAGUACAGUAGAGGUGGGCGGAAUUCGUGGUGUAGCGGUGAAAUGCUUAGAUAUCACGAAGAACGCCGAUGGCGAAGGCAGCUCACUGGACUGCAACUGACGCUGAGGCUCGAAAGUGUGGGGAUCAAACAGGAUUAGAUACCCCUGUAGUC